AGUGAACGCUGGCGGCAGGCCUAAUACAUGCAAGUCGAACGGCAGCACGGCAGAGCUUGCUCUGUGGGUGGCGAGUGGCGGACGGGUGAGGAAUACAUGGGAAUCUGCCCAGUCGUGGGGGAUAACGUAGGGAAACUUACGCUAAUACCGCAUGCGCCCUUCGGGGGAAAGCCGGGGACCUUCGGGCCUGGCGCGAUUGGAUGAGCCCAUGUCGGAUUAGCUAGUUGGCGGGGUAAUGGCCCACCAAGGCGACGAUCCGUAGCUGGUCUGAGAGGAUGAUCAGCCACACUGGAACUGAGACACGGUCCAGCCUCCUACGGGAGGCAGCAGUAGGGAAUAUUGGACAAUGGGCGCAAGCCUGAUCCAGCCAUGCCGCGUGAGUGAAGAAGGCCCUCGGGUUGUAAAGCUCUUUUGUCCGGAAAGAAAAGCGCCGGGUUAAUACCCUGGUGUCCUGACGGUACCGGAAGAAUAAGCACGGCAACUCGUGCCAGC
rnacentral:rRNA from 1 species